CCUACGGGAGGCAGCAGUAGGGAAUCUUCGGCAAUGGGGGCAACCCUGACCGAGCAACGCCGCGUGAGUGAAGAAGGUUUUCGGAUCGUAAAGCUCUGUUGUAAGUCAAGAACGGGUGUGAGAGUGGAAAGUUCACACAGUGACGGUAGCUUACCAGAAGNNGACGGUUAN
rnacentral:rRNA from 1 species